ACGCUCGCUCCAAAAGGUAUAAAUAAGGGUGACUUGGCACAGUCGGUCUUUUCGGAGAAGAUUGUUGUUGGGUGUUCAUGGUGUUUGCCUUCGGUCAAAAUUCCAAAUACCUUGAUUUGGGGGUUCAGUCAAGAUUCCAAAUACCUUGAUUUGGGCCUUCAGUCAAGAUUCCAAUUAACUUGAUUGGGGAGAGAAGAGGAGCCUCACCUUAAUUUUUGGCAGCUGGCAAUGCUUUUUGAGUCCUUUAUUUGAGGGGGAAAGUUUGUAAAGUGAUGUUAUUUUUGGAAGAUUAAUAACUGCCCUUUGGUGUAAAGGGGAAAGAGGAGGACAGAGCUGCAAAUUCUUGGGCAUGGCUUCAGAUCUAUAUUAACUAAUAGACUGAUAGAACGUUCCAAUGGCCAGGUGGCCCACUUAAGUUUAUAAGGAAUUGCAGGAUGCACUUUAAUGUGAGAAGGUUUAUUAAAACAGUAUGGUCCAUGGACCUAGACACCAGAAUUUUUCAGAAUACCUGAGGUAAAAAAAUGGAAAAAAAAGAUGAUACUUGGCCUUUUUAAAUCCUUCAAGUUGGUUUUCUAACUGCACUGCUGAACAGAAAGCAGGAGCCCAUGGGAACCUAGGUGUCUUUAUUAAAGAUCCAUUUUUAAUGUACUUACAAAUUAUAAUAAAGGUGACUAUACAUUA